rfam:Serratia symbiotica str. Tucson genomic scaffold scaffold00339, whole genome shotgun sequence.
CUUCGUGGGUGGCAUACCUCCCUUUUACGGGCGGGGUAAUCGCGCAUAGCUGUCAUCCGACAAUGCAGAUUUCCAAAGCUCGCGCUGAUGCGGGCUUUUUUAU